CCUACGGGAGGCAGCAGUGGGGAAUUUUGGACAAUGGGGGAAACCCUGAUCCAGCCAUUCCGCGUGAGUGAAGAAGGCCUUCGGGUUGUAAAGCUCUUUCGGCAGGAACGAAACGGCGGACUCUAACAUAGUCUGUCAAUGACGGUACCUGAAGAAGAAGCACCGGCUAACUACGUGCCAGCAGCCGCGGUAAUACGUAGGGUGCGAGCGUUAAUCGGAAUUACUGGGCGUAAAGCGUGCGCAGGCGGCUUUGUAAGACGGAUGUAAAAUCCCUGGGCUUAACCUAGGAACUGCGUUCGUGACUGCAAAGCUAGAGUGCGGCAGAGGGGGGUGGAAUUCCUGGUGUAGCAGUAAAAUGCGUAGAGAUCAGGAGGAACACCGAUGGCGAAGGCAGCUUGCUGGAACGGUCCUGACACUCAGGGACGAAAGCGUGGGGAGCGAUACGGAUUAGAUACCCCUGUAGU
rnacentral:rRNA from 1 species